rnacentral:rRNA from 1 species
UGUCCACGACGUACGGACAGCCGUCGAGCACAGCACUCUACAACCCAAUUCAGGGCGUUGCUCGCGUUGGGGAUAAGAAUCAACGGUUGUGAAGCCCACCCGUGAGAUCCCUCUGACGGCCACUGUUUGGCCUCCUUCCACCCCUGCUGCAGUUCAGUAGUACCGGGAAUACCSGUCCCGAUGUGUGCACGAUGUUACCUGCCAUGUUUCCCAACGGUUCGGCGCUCCACCUCGGUUAGGGUCUUUCGGCUAGCAUCAGGCCUAACCUCAGACGUUGAGCUGAGGUACUUCAGCCUUAGCGAUCAUUAGCGUCUAGUCGUACUGACGCCACUUAUGCAAGGGCCCAGAACAUGUGUGGCGGGCAGUGUGGUACCCUCACCCCAAAUGGUCUUCAUCCAUCGAAUUGGNGUUCCUCCCGCGAAUGGUGCCACUCGAAGUACUGACCCCACUUCAGCAUUGUUCCAUCGGCAUAGCCUUCCACGCCGACCUAGUGGAGGAAAGAC